CGAAUACGAUUCAUUUGCUACUUUUGCCACCCUAAUAAUCUUAUAUCUAUACCCCAAAAUGUAAUAAUAGCUUCAUCUCUUUCAUCAAACCAAACUUGAGCAUUUUAUUUUCACUUUUAUUCACUAAACACCGCAGCCAUUUGAAACACUCGAAGUUCUGAAGAAGAAGCUACUGCCAUUACAACAAAUCACCACCAAUUUCAAUUGAGAAAAGCUCAGGUAGUGGCAGAAGGGUGCUGUCGAGCGAGUAUCCCCGGCGGCCGGUGUCAGAGGCAGCUGGCAUUGACACGAGAAGAAGGUUAGUCUUCCAAAAAAGAAGAAUCCUUGCACUUUAGAAUCUGUGAUUGCAAUUGUUUAGAUUUUUAAGAAUGAAAAAUCUGACGGCUGGUAUUAUUAUUAUAUUUUAUAAAAAUGUAAAUGGGUUUGUUGAUGAUAUGUUAAAGAAUCUGACACAUGUUAAAUUAAGUGUUUUUGGGUUUAUUUUUAUGUGAAAAAAGAAAAUGGGUUUACUGAUUUGAAAGUUGUUUUGAUUACUUGUGCUCUUAUGCUAUGUGAACAAGCUGCUGUGUUACCAGUGCACGUAAUAAGAAAAUGCUGGUUUAGGCUAAAAUUUGGGACUUUAUCACUGUCGAAGCGUGCCAAUAUUGAUCUAUGUUGUUUGUUUAGAUCUAAUUUCCAUAUGUUUAAGCUAAAGAAACAAUUGCAUGUUAAAACUUACUGGUUUAUAUGUGAUUUUACUGUUUAAAAAACAUGGCUUUUAGGUUUUUUCCACUGUUCUUGAACCUGCAUGCAGUCCAUUUUGAUGUGAAAAACGAUGUUUUGAUCAUAUUGAUGUUAAAAAUAGCUGCAGGUCAUUUUGAUGUUAAAAUGUGUGUGUGUGUGUGUAUUUGGUCUUAAUAAAUCAACUUUUGGUUCACAGAACUUCCUUCAUUGGAUUUUUAUAAGCAUCAAAUGAUCAGGAAGUGCAACUGAUGUGAAAAAACAGGGCUUGAUAAUUACAAUGUCCUUGUUAUUCAGUAUUAAAAAUAUUUGUCAGAAUCAUCUCCUGGAAAAACCUCUAAUGGCAAUGCAGUUGCUUGCAGUAUGCCAUCUGAACAACCGCAGUUUGGUUCCGGUAGAAAUUGCAGUUGCCGAAAAAGUACUAGGAUGGUCCCAGUUUGUUGGCAAUAAAAGUAAAGCUACUGCUGUUCACUGAGACUAAAAAACUGGAGAGCGGCACAUUACUUGUAACUCAAGAUCAAACAUUAAGCAGAGAUAUCACGAAAGCUUGGAUACUUCAAUUUGUAACUUCUGCCAUAAAUUGUUGUCCAUCUCCUUUGCACUUUUGCCAAGAUUUCAAACUUUCAAAAGUACAUCUUCCUCCUUAAGUGUUUUUU
rnacentral:lncRNA from 1 species